rfam:Glycine max cultivar Williams 82 chromosome 19, whole genome shotgun sequence.
UCACAAAGAAACAUUGACUAUCACAUGUCACGUUCUGAUUAGAUACGAAAAGGUGCGCUCAAGAGCCCUCUCUAACAUUUUUCUGUUCAUUGUCCGAUCAGAAUGUAACACGUGGCAAUCAACGUUU